GGCGCCUCCUGUUUCGUAUCCCGGUGGUGCUCCGGUUAUGCGUCCUCCUGGUCAGAUGCCUUAUCCUGGACAAGGUCCACCUCCGAUGGGGAGGGGUCCUCCUCCACCUAUGCCGCCUGGACAAUUUCCUCAGAGACCAGGUGGUCCUCCACCACAAUUUUCCAUGCCGCCUCCUCAGUAUGGGCAGAGACCUAUGGGCCCACCUCCUCCUGGACAGAUGGUUAGAGGACCUCCUCCUCCACCUCGUCCUGGAAUGCAAGCACCACCACGUCCUGGCAUGCCUCCUCCUCCUGGAAGCGGUGUUCCGGUGUAUGGUCCACCUCGGCCUGGCAUGCC
rnacentral:lncRNA from 1 species